rnacentral:rRNA from 1 species
GAUAAACGCUGGCGGCGCACAUAAGACAUGCAAGUCGAACGGACUUAACCAUUAGUUUACUAUUGGAGCGGUUAGUGGCGGACUGGUGAGUAACACGUAAGCAACCUGCCUAUCAGAGGGAACAACAGUUAGAAAUGACUGCUAAUACCGCAUAUGCCUAAGUACCACAUGGUACAAUAGGGAAAGGAGCAAUCCGCUGAUAGAUGGGCUUGCGUCUGAUUAGAUAGUUGGUGGGGUAAAGGCCUACCAAGUCGACGAUCAGUAGCCGGACUGAGAGGUUGAACGGCCACAUUGGGACUGAGAUACGGCCCAGACUCCUACGGGAGGCAGCAGUCGGGAAUAUUGCGCAAUGGAGGAAACUCUGACGCAGUGACGCCGCGUGCAGGAAGAAGGUUUUCGGAUUGUAAACUGCUUUAGACAGGGAAGAAACAAGACAGUACCUGUAGAAUAAGCUCCGGCUAACUACGUG